UAAGUUGCUGUGAGUGGAUAAGUAAGUUAACGGAAAUUGUCAGAGAGCCUGCGUUCGGUGUGAGUAGGUAAGGGAAGUUAGCCCAAAAUGGUCCAUGAGUAUAGUGGUGUGAGCUGUCAGAUGAGUAUCACUCGGAAAUCUCCGUUAUCAGAUAUGAGUAUGAAUGCGACUGAUGAAGUGAUUGCUCAUCAGAGUAAGCAGAGUACUUAAUGAGGCGCAUUCAGUGAUGAAUGUGUGGAUAAAGGUGGUACCGUGAAGUCUUCACCCUUUAU
rnacentral:ncRNA from 1 species